AGGAGCUCGGCCAUGGUAGGGAGCGGUCCACGGUGGAGGAGGAGGUCCGGUGAGCGAUUCCAGGGGCCCGGCUAACCAAUCGCGCCCGGUGAGGCCUUGAACGUCUUCCGGGGAACCGAGUGAAGCUCCACGAGUACUUUUCGAGGCCCGGACGGUGGUGUUCAAGUGGGACCACAAUGGCGGCGACACUCCCUCCCUUCCUUGCCAACAGUGGACUAUGGCGCUUGGGCAACAGAUGUGGGCGUAGGCGGAUGAGAAGAGGGGUCACGAUGGUCGAGCUUUUAUGGCCCGAGGAGGAGAGGUCCCGACCGACAUAUUCCCCCGCGAUUCCCGACGGCGGGUUUAGCGGCGUU
rnacentral:lncRNA from 7 species